GAUGAACGCUGGCGGCGUGCCUAAUACAUGCCAGUCGAGCGAACAGACGAGGAGCUUGCUCCUCUGACGUUAGCGGCGGACGGGUGAGUAACACGUGGAUAACCUACCUAUAAGACUGGGAUAACUUCGGGAAACCGGAGCUAAUACCGGAUAAUAUAUUGAACCGCAUGGUUCAAUAGUGAAAGACGGUUUUGCUGUCACUUAUAGAUGGAUCCGCGCCGCAUUAGCUAGUUGGUAAGGUAACGGCUUACCAAGGCAACGAUGCGUAGCCGACCUGAGAGGGUGAUCGGCCACACUGGAACUGAGACACGGUCCAGACUCCUACGGGAGGCAGCAGUGGGGAAUCUUCCGCAAUGGGCGAAAGCCUGACGGAGCAACGCCGCGUGAGUGAUGAAGGUCUUCGGAUCGUAAAACUCUGUUAUUAGGGAAGAACAAAUGUGUAAGUAACUAUGCACGUCUUGACGGUACCUAAUCAGAAAGCCACGGCUAACUACGUG
rnacentral:rRNA from 1 species